rnacentral:rRNA from 1 species
GAAACCGGGUGAUCUAGCCAUGGGCAGGUUGAAGGUUGAGUAACAUCAACUGGAGGACCGAACCGACUAAUGUUGAAAAAUUAGCGGAUGACUUGUGGCUAGGGGUGAAAGGCCAAUCAAACUCGGAGAUAGCUGGUUCUCCCCGAAAGCUAUUUAGGUAGCGCCUCGGACGAAUACUACUGGGGGUAGAGCACUGUUAAGGCUAGGGGGUCAUCCCGACUUACCAACCCUUUGCAAACUCCGAAUACCAGUAAGUACUAUCCGGGAGACACACGGCGGGUGCUAACGUCCGUCGUGGAGAGGGAAACAACCCAGACCGCCAGCUAAGGUCCCAAAGUAUUGCUAAGUGGGAAACGAUGUGGGAAGGCUCAGACAGCUAGGAUGUUGGCUUAGAAGCAGCCAUCAUUUAAAGAAAGCGUAAUAGCUCACUAGUCGAGUCGGCCUGCGCGGAAGAUGUAACGGGGCUAAGCAAUACACCGAAGCUGCGGCAAUAUCUUUUAGAUAUUGGGUAGGGGAGCGUUCUGUAAGCCGUUGAAGGUGAAUCGUAAGGUUUGCUGGAGGUAUCAGAAGUGCGAAUGCUGACAUGAGUAACGACAAAGGGGGUGAAAAACCUCCUCGCCGGAAGACCAAGGGUUCCUGUCCAACGUUAAUCGGGGCAGGGUGAGUCGACCCCUAAGGUGAGGCCGAAAGGCGUAAUCGAUGGGAAACGGGUUAAUAUUCCCGUACUUCUGACUAUUGCGAUGGGGGGACGGAGAAGGCUAGGUGGGCCAGGCGACGGUUGUCCUGGUUCAAGUGCGUAGGCUUGAGAGUUAGGUAAAUCCGGCUCUCUCUAAGGCUGAGACACGACGUCGAGCUGCUACGGCAGUGAAGUCAUUGAUGCCAUGCUUCCAGGAAAAGCCUCUAAGCUUCAGAUAGUCAGGAAUCGUACCCCAAACCGACACAGGUGGUCGGGUAGAGAAUACCAAGGCGCUUGAGAGAACUCGGGUGAAGGAACUAGGCAAAAUGGUACCGUAACUUCGGGAGAAGGUACGCUCUUGAUGGUGAAGUCCCUCGCGGAUGGAGCUGACGAGAGUCGCAGAUACCAGGUGGCUGCAACUGUUUAUUAAAAACACAGCACUGUGCAAAAUCGCAAGAUGACGUAUACGGUGUGACGCCUGCCCGGUGCCGGAAGGUUAAUUGAUGGGGUUAGCGCAAGCGAAGCUCUUGAUCGAAGCCCCGGUAAACGGCGGCCGUAACUAUAACGGUCCUAAGGUAGCGAAAUUCCUUGUCGGGUAAGUUCCGACCUGCACGAAUGGCGUAAUGAUGGCCACGCUGUCUCCACCCGAGACUCAGUGAAAUUGAAAUCGCUGUGAAGAUGCAGUGUACCCGCGGCUAGACGGAAAGACCCCGUGAACCUUUACUACAGCUUGGCACUGAACAUUGAACCUACAUGUGUAGGAUAGGUGGGAGGCUAUGAAGACGUGACGCCAGUUGCGUUGGAGCCGUCCUUGAAAUACCACCCUUGUAUGUUUGAUGUUCUAACUUAGACCCAUUAUCUGGG